rnacentral:rRNA from 1 species
UACGAAGGGUGCAAGCGUUAAUCGGAAUUACUGGGCGUAAAGGGUGCGUAGGCGGUUCGUUAAGUCUGGCGUGAAAUCCCCGGGCUCAACCUGGGAAUGGCGAUGGAUACUGGCGAGCUAGAGUGUGUCAGAGGAUGGUGGAAUUCCCGGUGUAGCGGUGAAAUGCGUAGAGAUCGGGAGGAACAUCAGUGGCGAAGGCGGCCAUCUGGGACAACACUGACGCUGAAGCACGAAAGCGUGGGGAGCAAACAGG